UACGUAGGCUCCAAGCGUUGUUCGGAAUUACUGGGCGUAAAGCGAGUGUAGGCGGUCCGUCAAGUCGAUUGUGAAAUCUCCCGGCUCAACUGGGAGGGUGCGGUCGAAACUGACGGACUAGAGUUCGGGAGAGGAGAGUGGAAUUCCUGGUGUAGCGGUGAAAUGCGUAGAUAUCAGGAGGAACACCGGUGGUGAAGACGGCUCUCUGGACCGAUACUGACGCUGAGACUCGAAAGCGUGGGUAGCAAACAGG
rnacentral:rRNA from 1 species